rnacentral:rRNA from 1 species
UGGGGGGAUAUUGCACAAUGGAGGAAACUCUGAUGCAGCGACGCCGCGUGAGGGAAGACGGUCUUCGGAUUGUAAACCUCUGUCUUUGGGGACGAUAAUGACGGUACCCAAGGAGGAAGCUCCGGCUAACUACGUGCCAGCAGCCGCGGUAAUACGUAGGGAGCGAGCGUUGUCCGGAAUUACUGGGUGUAAAGGGAGCGUAGGCGGGGACUCAAGUCGAAUGUUAAAUCUACCGGCUCAACUGGUAGCUGCGUUCGAAACUGGGACUCUUGAGUGAAGUAGAGGCAGGCGGAAUUCCUAGUGUAGCGGUGAAAUGCGUAGAUAUUAGGAGGAACACCAGUGGCGAAGGCGGCCUGCUGGGCUUUACUGACGCUGAGGCUCGAAAGCGUGGGGAGCGAACAGGAUUAGAUACCCUGGUAGU